rnacentral:tRNA from 3 species
AGCCCCGUGGUGUAGUGGUCAAGCAUACCGGGCUUUGGACCCGGUGACGCCGGUUCGAAUCCGGCCGGGGCUA